GUGGAGCAUCCAUUGUAGCGAGUGUCGGUUUAGGAGCACUGUAGUUUCUCCAGGGAGGAAGUCCAGGAUUAGUGAUAUGACUGCCAAGCAGAAAGGGGUCUAUAAUCUCCAAAGUAGUACAAAGAAGCAAGCUAGGAUCUUCAGCUAUGGAGGUGGUCAUCCCAAAGGCCUCCAAGGGAACUCAGCAGCUGAAGAGGGAUGGCAGAGGCAAUGGUUGCACAAGGAGC
rnacentral:lncRNA from 1 species